UACGUAGGGAGCAAGCGUUGUCCGGAAUCAUUGGGCGUAAAGCGCACGUAGGCGGCCCUGUAAGUCCGCUGUGAAAGUCAAAGGCUCAACCUUUGAAAGCCGGUGGAUACUGCAGGGCUAGAGUCCGGAAGAGGCGAGUGGAAUUCCUGGUGUAGCGGUGGAAUGCGCAGAUAUCAGGAGGAACACCAAUAGCGAGGGCAGCUCGCUGGGACGGUACUGACGCUAAGGUGCGAAAGCGUGGGGAGCGAACAGG
rnacentral:rRNA from 1 species